UUCCGGUUGAUCCUGCCGGACCUGACUGCUAUCGGAUUGAUACUAAGCCAUGCGAGUCAUUGUAGCAAUACAAGGCAGACGGCUCAGUAACGCGUAGUCAACCUACCCUAUGGACGGGGAUAACCUCGGGAAACUGAGAAUAAUACCCGAUAGAACAUUAUACCUGGAAUGGUUUAUGUUUCAAAUAAUUUAUUGCCGUAGGAUGGGACUGCGGCCUAUCAGUUUGUUGGUGAGGUAAUGGCCCACCAAGACUAUUACAGGUACGGGCUCUGAGAGGAGUAGCCCGGAGAUGGGUACUGAGACACGGACCCAGGCCCUAUGGGGCGCAGCAGGCGAGAAAACUUUGCAAUGUGCGAAAGCACGACAAGGUUAAUCCGAGUGGUUUCUGCUAAAGGAACCUUUUGUUAGUCAUAGAACCACUAAUGAAUAAGGGGUGGGCAAGUUCUGGUGUCAGCCGCCGCGGUAAAACCAGCACCUCAAGUGGUCAGGAUGAUUAUUGGGCCUAAAGCAUCCGUAGCCUGCUUUGUUAGUUUUCGGUUAAAUCCAUACGCUCAACGUAUGGGCUGCCGGGAAUACUGCAAAGCUAGGGAGUGGGAGAGGUAGACGGUACUCGGUAGGAAGGGGUAAAAUCCUUUGAUCUAUUGAUGACCACCUGUGGCGAAGGCGGUCUACCAGAACACGUCCGACGGUGAGGGAUGAAAGCUGGGGGAGCAAACCGGAUUAGAUACCCGGGUAGUCCCAGCUGUAAACUAUGCAAACUCGGUGAUGCAUUGGCUUGAUGCCAAUGCAGUGCCGCAGGGAAGCCGUUAAGUUUGCCGCCUGGGAAGUACGUACGCAAGUAUGAAACUUAAAGGAAUUGGCGGGGGAGCACCACAAGGGGUGAAGCCUGCGGUUCAAUUGGAGUCACGCCGGAA
rnacentral:rRNA from 1 species